GGCCAGAGGUCAGGAGCCACUGAUAUAUGAAAAAUGAAGAUUAAGAGGGUCUGUCUGCAGAAGGGUGCGGGGUUUAAUAAAGAACUGUUGGACAGAUGAGAGCGAAUAUUUGUCUCGGUAGCCUAUUCAUUUCUGGCCUGGUGUUUAAAUUACACUUGUUCAUCUUCCGCAGAAAGACACAACCCGCUUAAAGAAAGGAGCUGCCAUAACUCGAAAUUGAAAAGGGUAAUAAAAACCUAGCUGAUUUUCUUCUUCUUCUUUUCUUCUUCUUCCAGGUGAAAAUUUCAGAACUCGAGAUUACGAAGCAGCGCCCGCGGGGAGCAAAGUCAUCUUUCUGAGCGCCAUUAGGACUUUGAAGUCCAGCCGAAAGAAAAGGGAUCUAAUAACUCCAUCUGAGACAGGAAGACCAUUGGUGACGCACGACCUCCGACUUCCAUUUCCCUUGUAAAUAAUCAUCAGCUCCUGUGUGAAAUUUGGACCGGACAAAGGCAGUUGCUUAUUUUGGCACUUCAUCCUACAUUGUGGCUGUUGGAUUAAAAAUCAACCCCCCGCCGUGCGGCGCAAUCAGAAUCCUUUUUUAUUGCU